AUCCCACCAUGGUAUGAACAGCUAGACAGCUAGACUUAAGAAGAUGCUGGCUCCAAUUGUAAACUUCGCUGAAGAUGGCUUCUUGCAACAAGACCACCUUCCCCAGCAUCUUCUGGAGCGGCGGGCAGCUGUGUGGUCACUGGGAGUUGAGGACAAUUUCAGGUCCGUGUCAAUGGAACCUUUCUUACCUGAACUUCUCUAAGAUCAAGCCCAGGUUUUGGAUGUAAUUCUUCUACAUCCCCGGUGGGCUCGGAGCAACUGGAGAGAGGCUGGUGGUUAUUUUCAAGCCAGACGCAUCGAUAUGGCUGUGCUCUCCAGGAAGGUCAAGGAUCUGAAGCCUGAGCCCAGGGCAGCACGCUCUGGGCGCCAACACCUGCUUUUGCUAUCGCUGAGACAUUUUUCUCACCCGUCGGGAAUGCACCUUGGCAGAUGCUCUACUGACUCUUCACACAUUGGGAUGAUUUGGGGCGUUUUCUCCAGCUUGGAGCAAUGUGUGUGGUGAUGGCUGUUUCCAGAUAGAAAACCGUGGACUCCUGGAAAGAGCUGAAGAAAUGAUUGGCUUGUGCUUUGGCUGGAUUGAGAAAGCAGAUCCUGGGGCUUAGACACAUCCAUCAAAGGGCCUGAUUCUCAUUUCUACACCACAAUUGUCCCCUUCCAGAAGAAUGGACCCCAUUAUUAAAUGAUAUCAGAAAAUGA